rnacentral:tRNA from 1 species
GUUGUAGCUUAGCUGGUUAAAGCGCCAGAUUGUGGCUCUGGAGACCGUGGGUUCGAGUCCCAUCU